GUCUUUGCCUGCUUCGGGGGCGAUGCUUGGCUUCUCUCAGUGGCACUGACGGAUCUGAUGGUGAUUUGGUAUAAGGUCGCAGCCUUCAGGCCUGUCACAGUGCCUGGGGAAUUGGCCACCGUGGUUUCAAUGACCGUG
ensembl:miRNA